CUUCAACCGUGUGCUUUUUGUAUGCUUGACGCGCAGAGUUGCCAAUUCACGGCAAAAGAUCGACAAAUUAGGAUGAUGCAAAAAGAGGACACACCACAGGAAAAAAUUAUCUAUUAUCCCUAUCAUCACAGGAACAAGGAAAUACGUUUCCAACCCACAAUAAUUUCAGAUCACACGGACGUCAAAUUUACUAAUUACACUACUUCAAAAGCCAUAACGUUUUUGCUAAUCUAAAAAUAAUUAAUGAUGAAACACGACAAUGUUAAAAAUAA